rnacentral:lncRNA from 1 species
CUCACCUGUUCUGGGGUUCAAAGCUCUAUAACCUCUCCCCCUGAACUUCUCCCGUUCCCAGCUUCCCUUCUUACACAACCCUGGCAUUUCAGCCGCAGGCUCUCCCCCUGCUCUCUCUGGGUGCUUCCUCUCCCCUCCCCACAUGCCUCCCCUCCCAUUGCACCCUCCUCUCCUCUCUUCUCUGUCUUGUCUAUCUCUCAACUCCCCCACCGUAUGGGCAGGUUCAGUCUGCUGGCCAUGUUCGGUCUACUUUUGCUCUCCCUGCUCUGGGCUCUUCCAGAGGCCUCUGGCUGUACUCUCCCUCCCCUCACACCCACCACAAAAACCUUCUUUCUGGGGAGAUAUGGAAGUGGGACAUUUGAAAUGUAGACAAAUAAAAUAAUUACAAUCUUAAAAACCCUUCUUUUCAACCAUAUCUUGGAGUUAUCCUGUGUCCUUACUUCAUUCAGACCCAUCUCUCCAUUUCGAGGGCUCACCUUAGAUUGCCACCUUAGGGUUCAAUUGUAUUCCUAUUUUAUCAGAAUUCCCAGGGGAUUUCUAGCACGUAUUCGGCUUGACUUGUAAGGGAAAACGAAUUACUUAGUAGAUCCAGCUCUUGAUUGCAUUUUUCCUCAAAAUCUGGACAAGUGUUCAAACAGCUUAUCAAAAAGCAACCACCUAGGGCUGGGGAGACAGAUUAACUAGUACAGUGCUGACCUCCUAACAUGCAGAGCCCGGGGUUAGAUGUCCAGGGCUGGGCAAAGUGGUCUUAAACUUUAAUAGUUCAAUAACAAAAUUACAAUUCUAUAUUUUAUAACUAUAAUCCUAGCAUUAGGGAGGUUGAAGCAGAAGGGUCAGGAAGAAUUUCAAGGUCAUCCUCAAGUACACAUAGAGUUGGAGGCUAGCCUGAGGUACUAGUAACCUUGUCUCAAACUCACACAGACACACGGAGGGGGAUAGUGGCUGGAGAGAUGGCUCAAUGGGGUUAAGAGCAUUUAUUGCUCUUCUGAUAGACUGGAGUUUGGAUCCCAGCUCCCAUACUGAGAAUCCAGCUCAGUAACUCCAGCUCCAGGAAACCUUCAGACACACACACACAUACACACACACACAUACACACACACACACACACAAAUAAAAAUCUUCAAAUCCCCACUUUACCUCUUACACUAAGAGGAGGAAAAUAAUGAGCUCACUAUUAGCAAUGAUCUUCUCAACCAUUAUGUGCAUCACAACUAGUUAACAGCCAGGUGCUACCUACCUACAUAAUCAAAGUCCCAGUUCAAGGAAAAAUUUCAAAGUGAACCGGGACACUAAACAAUUGAUGGUGAUAACGUCAACUAUUAUGGCCUAACGACAGGGUUUGUUAUGUGCUAUCAAUCUGAGGAAGUGCUUCCUACAUUUAAUUUCCACUAAUAAGAUAAGAAGACAGUCAGGCCUUUAUUUUGAAGAAGAGGAAGCUGAGAGGGCUCAGAUUGCCUCCCAGAUGUGAUAAACAAAGCCAGGGCUGCAGGAGAAACUGUCAGGAGCUCAGGGUGUAGGGCACUGGUGUGGCGGCAGGGGGAUGACCUUGAGGAUGAAGGAAUCUGCUGCCAACCCAAAUUUGAUUCCUGGGAACCGCAAGGUACAGAGAAAGAACCAAAUGACACAUGUGCACCCACAUGCGUGCACAUAACAUACAUAUAUGGAAGAAAAGCCUUUAAAAAAGGGGUGGGAGAUUAUUGGGGGCUGGAGAGAUGGCUCAGUGGUUAGGGCUGGAGAGCUGGCUCAGUGGUUAGGAACACAAGCUGCUCUUCCAAAGGUCCUGGGUUAGGACCCAUGUGGCUGCUCACAACUGUCUGUAGCUCCAGUCCCAGGGGAUCUGACAUCCUUACAUACACACAGGCAAAACACGGAUCCGAAUGUUAUAUAUAAGAGGUGUUAAUAUGACGUUGGCAUCAAAGCCAAGUUGUCGUAAGCUUGAAGCAUAUAUCUGCUGUGAAUUAGCCAUGUUAAUUUAUGCAAACACUUCAGCUGCAUAACCAGUGAGGUGGGUAAAAUAAUACCGUCCAUACCAGAGUACUCGGUGAAGACUAAAUUAGUGUGUGAAGCAGUUAGAGAACACCUAGUAAGGACUAUGCUUGCUAUUAUCGUGGUUAGCAUUAACUGGAGCCAUUAGUCACAUCCAGAUUAGCUCUCCCUAGCCCUUCCCCCAUCACAGGCCAGCUGCCCCCACCUCUCCUGCUACCUGGUGACACUCUUAACUCUUAUUUCUCUCAUUUAAGCUAAACUUUACCAUCUGUGCCCAUGAGCCAGGGCUCCUGGCAUACACCUUGAGUCCCAGCAUUCUGGAGGCAGAGGCAGGUGGAUCUGAGUGCAAGGCCAGAGCCUGGUCUACAUAGGGAGUUCCAGUCCAGCCUGGGCUACGUGCUAAGACCCUGUCUCAAACUCUUCAAGGCUGUAACAAAUGCAUUUUACGCCGUGGUCAGUAAACAGCUCACUUAAAAUGAACCAGGUUAGAACCAUAAACCAGCAACCCUAGCACGCAGAAGGGCUGCCAGAGGAUGACUGUGAACUUCAGGCUAUCCUGGGCAACUUAGUAAGGCUCUUUCUCAGAAACGAAAGCCAUCCAAAAGCAGUCAGACACUAACUACGCGAAAACAAAUCAAGUUACAACACAUGAAACAUAGACGGACCAGGAGGCGGUGGGAAACUAAAACACUCCACACUUGGAAGUGGGCGCAGUUCUCACUCUCACCUGUAAAAUUACUUUUUUUCUAGUUCCUACAACCACUAAAAACACACUUAUAAACUGUAUCGUUCAGCCAGUCACUAAACAGAUGCUUAUUAGUAUGCACACACUGGCAGUGCCUGGCACUGGGCUCGGGCUAGGGUUACAGCAUUUAAAGUGACACCAGCUUCUCCACUGUGCUUCCAGUCCAGUGUAGGUGCCAAGUGCACACAGGUGUAUUGUGCCAUUUUAUAUGAGCAUUCUGUUCAUUAUAAAGCCCUUUAAACCUCUUACUAAAAUAUAAGCAAAUGAAUAAAACAGGGAGACCAUUUCAAACUCUUUGAAAGCACACGUUUUCUUCCUGUCUCCAGGGACAGCGUUCUGUUGAAUGGCACACUUGUGCCCAUUCAUUUCUGACCCUUUGCACACUUAAGAUGGUGAAGACGGUAUCAGACUACCCAAGAAUCAAAUAACUGAAAUUUAAACUGAAGAGUAAUUGCAGUCCCCAAAACGUUCAAGGUAUGCCUCCAAAGGAGCAUAAAAGUCAUUUAACCUGGAGUUUCACACUUCCCAAACCGGUUGUCUGUGCCCUUGGAAGAGUUUACUGGCUAGCCAAACGGCUUUACUGCACAUCAAUUAAGCGCAGUUCUCAGUCCAAGAAGGACCAGCGACUUGAUCUAAAAAGUAUUAGCAUAGCCCAUGACGCAAGGGUGGGUCUGUGCUAGCUCUCAAGAGGUCUGGGGCUGGAGUCCAAGAUCAGCAGGCAGUCAUAGUCACCUGACAAGGGCCCUACUCCGAGAUAAGCACUUGGUGCUUCCCAUCAGCGUGUGCAUUCUCACUAGUAAGGCCUCCAACCCCCUGGCAUGUAGCUGUACAAAACAGUCGAGCAAUUAUGAAAAAGGAAAAAAGUUAAUAAAAAAAAAAUCCCCCUUUCACUCUGCAAAAUUCACAUGCAAAACCGAGCGUGCCUCUAAGACAAAGUCUGCGAUCCAGAAGAAACAGAAGAUAAGGUGUUUUGUCAACGGUGAAGAAUUAAUAGGGUGGCACCGCAGGACUGGAUCCGAAGGAGGGAUCCACGGAAUGAAGGAUCACUACAGAAAAAUACAAACCCUGGGAGAGUUUCACCAACGCAAGGCCUUAGAGCCAAAAUCAAAUGGCCAGAGGACUCUUGGGGACACCCUGCAGAAGGAAGGGGACCCAUGCGCACGCUGAAGCAUGCGAGGCCCGGACGUCCAGUCCAGCUGCUGCAGGCGAGUCGGGGAGAGGAUGAGCGCUCAGCGCCUGGGACUGGUGGGCCGUGUGCUGGUCCCCAGGCUGCAGGGAGGAUAGGGAAGCAGAAGGGAGAUUCGGGGUGCCGGCACCGCCCCACGCCGGGAGGAGCCCGCGCCGUGCCACCGCCUCAGCGAGCCGCCAUUCAGGGGCCCCCGGCCGCGCCGCCGCGCUUGGCUCACAGCCCCCGGCUGCCGCACAUUGUCGCUCCGGCGACCGACGGCCCGCUGGGCUCCACGCCGCCGCCGCU